ACUUUCUCCUCAUGGUAUGAAGUUUAAAUAUUGACUUUAAGCCUGUCUCAGAGGACUUCCUCAAGGUAGACCCAAACUAUAUCACAUUCCUCAUAACUACUUCUCUGGUUACCUUCCUAAAGGCAACGUCUACCUAGAAUAUCUGCUUCUCGCUGCCACAUGUUCCUUCCAUUCCAUUCCAUGAAGUCUACUUAACGAGCCCCUUCAGUAGAGAAGUUCUCAACGAAUCCCUUCUGGAUCCAGGCAUUCUGAUUACUGUAUUAUGACUGUGCACUCUACCCAGUCAAUCUCCACAGGGCAGACUGUCAUCUGAGCCCGGCCUGUCCUGCUGUCUGCUCUCUCCAGAGAGCAUCCUUCAUCCUGAUAAACAGGCUGCGAGCUGGACAUGUGACUGAGCUCCUUAAGACAUGAGUCUUCAGUCUCCUGCCCUCAGCUUAGCUGGAAGCUGGAUGACAGCCACAUUAAGAGGCUUUCUGCAAGUGGCUUUUGGAUGAAAAGGGGGCCUCUCAGGUACUCCACUCUCACGUUGCAGGCUCUGCAGCAGCUGGUCUAUCUGGUGGCACUGGGAGGAUUUACAUCAUGCACCAGGUCCUGGGAUUGCGUCUUAACUAUCUGCAAUGGUCAUUCUGCUUCAUGAGAAAGGUAAGAUUCGACUCUCAUUAAUUCUACAGAUUCAUUUGAAUCCAAUUCCCAGGACUUUUCUUUAAAAUAAACAAACCAUAUAAACUCCUCAGGUUGGAUGGUGUUGGAAGAACUAAUUAUUUGUGUUUCCCAUUACUGUUUUGUCCAUGUAGGGACUACAGAUUGCAGCACUGAGUAAGUGUAAUUGAGAAUUAAUGUGUUCUGUGGCUCAGAGGUGGAAAAUAAAACUGAGGCAGCCCAUAUGAGGAAAAAGUGGAUUCUUGUCAUGUAAGUGAGGCCAUGAGGACACAUGAUUGUGGCCUUUAUUGCUCAGGCCUGCCCAGUGGAUACUAGGAAAAGGACCCUCUUUCUGCUGUCAAGCUUUAACAAAAUUUGAGUGAAGCUUUAUUUCUCUAAAAAGAAACACAAGAUAGGCAAGAUGCAAAGAAUGGUCAGAGGGAAGAGGGAAGUUAAAAUGAAGGUGAUUGCCGCUCUGACAUCGUAACUACACUUGUGAAGGCAAUGAUAAUUUACUGUGGUUUUUACCAUGAAAGAGAAAUGCCAGGGAUCCACUUUCUGAAUAAGACUGCUUCAGGCAACCACCAUUUUACUCUAUGUCUCUACGGAUUUGGCUGCCAUAAGUGCCUCACGUUCCAGCUAGCCCAAUGAGGGAAGAAAAAAACUUAAAAUGGAGUAAGAGGAAGGAAAAGGACAAUAAUAAAAAACUCAAGCAGAACAGAGCCCUCAGAAAUAAUGCCGCAUAUCUACAACCAUCUGAUCUUUGACAAACCUGAAAAAAAAAGAAAUGGGGAAACGAUUCCCUAUUUAAUAAAUGGUACUGGGAAAACUGGCUAACUGUAUGUAGAAAGCUGAAACUGGAUCCCUUCCUUACACCUUAUACAAAAAUUAAUUCAAGAUGGAUUAAAGACUUAAAUGUUAGACCUAAAACCAUAAAAACCCUAGAAGAAAACCUAGACAAUACCAUUCAGGACAUAGGCAUGGGCAAGGACUUCAUGUCUAAAACACCAAAAGCAAUGGCAAC
rnacentral:lncRNA from 10 species